rnacentral:rRNA from 1 species
UACGUAGGGGGCAAGCGUUGUCCGGAUUUAUUGGGCGUAAAGAGCUCGUAGGCGGUUCCGUAAGUCGUGAAGUCAAAUCUCUGGGCUCAACCCAGAAUCGCUUCCGAUACUGCGGUGACUGGAGUCCGGUAGGGGAGUGUGGAAUUCCUGGUGUAGCGGUGAAAUGCGCAGAUAUCAGGAGGAACACCAAUUGCGAAGGCAGCUCGCUGGGACGUGACUGACGCUGAGACGCGAAAGCUAGGGGAGCAAACGGG